GACGAACGCUGGCGGCGUGCCUAACACAUGCCAGUCGAACGGAAAGGCCCUGCUUUUGCGGGUUGCUCGAGUGGCGAACGGGUGAGUAACACGCGAGUAACCUGUCCUUGACUUUGGGAUAACUUCAGGAAACUGGGGCUCAUACCCGAUAGGAGCUCCUGCUGCAUGGGGGGGGUUGGAAAGUUUCGGCGGUUCGGGAUGGACUCGCUGCUUAUCGGCUUGUUGGUGGAGUAGUGGAGUACCAAGGUUUUGACGGGUAGCCGGCCUGAGAGGGUGACCGGCCACAAUGGGACUGAGAUACGGCCCAGACUCCUACGGGAGGCAACAGUGGGGAGUAUUGCACAAUGGGCGGAAGCCUGAUGCAGCAACGCCGCGUGCGGGAUGACGGCCUUCGGGUUGUAAACCGCUUUCGCCUGUGACGAAGCGUGAGUGACGGUAAUGGGUAAAGAAGCACCGGCUAACUACGUG
rnacentral:rRNA from 1 species